ACACAAUCAAAGAAUUGAGCAUCUGUGGCGAGAUGUCUGGACCUGUGUAACUCAUCUUUACUAUGAGGUUCUUCACAACCUGGAGGAAAGUGGCCUUCUGGAUUUGUCCAACACUUUGCAUCUGUUUUGUGCACACUAUGUGUUCCUCCCUCGGCUUGCAGAUGCACUUCACACUUUCACAGAAGGAUGGGACAAUCAUCCUUUAAAGUCUGAAGGUGGACUCACCCCUAACCAGCUGUGGACCUUGGGACACAUGCAGAAACCUAUUUGUGAAACUGUAGAUGCUCAGAACCUGGACCUGUUUGGAACUGACUGGGAAACAUUUGAUGGUGUCAGUGAAGAACCCCUUGGAGUUCAAGUCCCAGAAAAUGACUGCCCUCUGUCACCGACUGCAGUGGAAGCUGUUCAGUCCAUGAUCAACCCACUUGCGCCAUCUGAAUCAUAUGGUCAGGAUCUGUUUGUAUCAAUGGUUCAGUAUGUUGAAAGUCACUGGGAAACGAGCCACAGCAGUUAACACAUGUUGUAAAAAAGUGUACAUUUGCUAAAA